rnacentral:rRNA from 1 species
CAUCUACGGAGAGUUUGAUCCUGGCUCAGGACGAACGCUGGCGGCGUGCUUAACACAUGCAAGUCGAACGAUGAAGCCAGCUUGCUGGUGGAUUAGUGGCGAACGGGUGAGUAACACGUGGGCAACCUGCCCCCGGCU